UUUUUCCUUUCCUUAAACGCGCAACAUUUUUGCUCCAGCUGCGCGCCCCCUGCUGGCCUGGAAACUGUUUACACCAACCACUUCAUUUCCACACAAAAUGAAAACUGAACUAUUUCAGCGGAGAACUUGUUUUAUUCUAGUUACAGAACAUCACAAUUAGCUUUCUUUGUCUGAAGUGAGUCUGAGAUAAAGUUGUCUUUAAAUGACGUCAUGCAUGGGUGACAGUACAACUAAUUGUCAAUAUGAGGGAAACGAAUCAAAGCAACAAAGAUGGAUAAACAUUACUGUAAGCAUAAAUAUCAGAAAAUAUGGGUAGAGUUAUAGAGGUUUGCAGAGUUGAAAUCAAACAUAUUCAUGUCGAAUUCAUUACAUUUUGUGGGUUUAAUGAAAGACAUUAGUAGGAUUUUUGUUUUCUAAUUCUGAACGAAUAAAGCAUCCUUUCAUUUUAACCCUACAAUCCUAAAUUCAUUAUAAAAACAAAUAAAAACACAACAUGAAAAAAAGAAGUCGCCCAUUGUUUCUGAUACAACCGAACAAUUAAACAUUUAAUAUUUCAAGUAAUAAUAAUAUUCUACUUUUUAGUAUUUUCUUUUGGUGACUCGUUUGGUUUUCCUUAGAUGACUCGUUAAUGUGGAGCGCUUCGUUGUUCCACCUCCAUUUCAGAAGAUGCAUGGGGAGGAAAGAAGAUGGAGUGGCCGGCAAGGAGCAGUUCCAUGUUCGGCCGCUUGGGGGCCCCAGUGAUCUUUCUCUGAGAACAAACGCGUGUUUACCUCCUGGGCGCAAUGCCCGACAACCCCGGAAGAGGGCGCCAUGGCACACGUGUUUCCAGCCAGUCAGGAACAUGAGAGGCGGUAGAAAGAGCUGAGGAGGGGGAGGGUUGACCAGUACUGGCCAAACUGGUAAGUGGACUGGUUUCUGGGAAUAUCAGCAGCUGUUCCUGUUUCUAUGAUGUUCUAAACAGAAAAAAAAAUUUAUUUCCUCAAAUAAGGAAACCUCAUGAAGCCUGAUCAGGUUGUGUCGGUUGCUGUUGGCGGUGCUGCUGUGGGGACCUGAAGAUGCUUUAUAGGGGGGAAAGUGAAGUGAUUAAAAAAACCCUGCAGUCAAAUUAAAGCACUUCUGGCCACUAAAGAAUUCAAAACAAAUGAAAAGAGGAACAAUGUCAGAGGUUCCUCUUUUGCUGUCUGCUCAGGACUCUAAUCAGGUCAGCUGGUCUGUUCUAUCGCCUCAUGAGGUUGUUAGCUUUCUGGUUGGCGGCGUCGAUGCGGGAGACGUUCAGGUUGGCCUGCAGACAAAGACAGAAAACAGGUGCUUCAUUACAGGAAGAACAGUCUGGAAUAUUCUACGAGUGUGGUGGUCCCCAGCGAUAAUACAGCCUGUUGAAUCAGAAACGAGGUGAUGGAAACACGCAGGGGAAACUAAAAUGGCCGUGGCGCACCAGGAAGUCCGGUGAGACGUCUUUGUAUCUUUUUUUCCCUUCCUUUAAUUUCAGUCCACAAACAAUCGCUACUGCUUCUUCCCCUUCGGACAUGUUUGUUUUCUCUGAAUUCAUAUUUGAUCUCAAGUGGCUUAUAGAGAUUUCCUGUCUGACUCUUGAAUGUUGAUGAGUGAAAUUGGUCUGCGUGCGGUGUGUCGUCUUUGCUGUAGCACUGUAGGACCAAACCUGUUAUUUCUAUCAUCAUGAGUGGAGUUUCUCAGGUUUUUAAAAUCUUGCCAGGGAACCAGGGAUCAGUAGGGGUUAACUGGAGUGGUGAUUCCCUGUUUGUUAGUGUUUUUAAAAACAUUUUCCAGCUCUAUCCUAACACUGAGGAGUCGUAGGUUUCAUACCGCCUCCGUAAUGCGGAUGAUCUGAUCUUUCUGUGACUCCAGCUCAUUGCCGAUGUCCAGAGCCAUGCUUUUCAGAUUUCCCACGAUGCUCCCCACGUGAGCCAGGUUUUCCUCCAUCUCAUCCUCUCUGGCGUCGUCCAUCACCCUGAAACAAAGGAGGCAGUGUGUGUGUGUGUAUGUGUGAUGACGUUGCAUGUUUGAGCAGCUGCCUUGGGGAGUUAAUGACGGCUUGGAUUACCUCCAGGCUGUCAGAAUAAAAGCAAACACCCACCAGGCUGCUACCUCGCUAGCUGCUCUGUGUACCUGCGGAUGUGUCCUCCACUCAUCAUCAUCUGCUCUCGCUGGUCGACGACCCGAGACGUUGGAGGCUGAUUGGCUAUUACCCCAUCCUGAUUGGAGGCUCCGCCCCAAACUGCCUUGUACGCCCUGCUCUCCUCGAAGGCUUUCAGUCUGAGAGGAGAAAGUGACCUCGUCAAUGACCUCUAAUUGUGUACAGUUGUUGAUGUCAGGUAUGGUAUUGAGCAUACUCAGUUCCUUCAUAUCUUCCCACCUGUUACACCAGAUCUGAUCCAUUGUUCUCCAGACCUGUCAGAGUUUUUCUCUGGACCCUGUUUCAGACCUGAUUUCUUCCGAUCCAUGAAAUUAAGCCUAAUGUGUUUAAAACAAGGAUUAAAGUAGGCAAAGUGGAUAAAAGACGUUGGCCAGAUAAAUCAGAACUAAAAGUAAUUUAUUCAGAAUAGGG